rnacentral:rRNA from 1 species
UGGGGAAUAUUGCACAAUGGGGAAGACCCUGAUGCAGCGACGCCGCGUGGAGGAAGAAGGUUUUCGGAUUGUAAACUCCUGUCUUCGGGGACGAUAAUGACGGUACCCGAGGAGGAAGCCACGGCUAACUACGUGCCAGCAGCCGCGGUAAAACGUAGGUGGCAAGCGUUGUCCGGAAUUACUGGGUGUAAAGGGAGCGCAGGCGGGUCGGCAAGUUGGAGGUGAAAGCUGUGGGCUCAACUCACAAACUGCCUUCAAAACUGCCGAUCUUGAGUGGUGUAGAGGUAGGCGGAAUUCCCGGUGUAGCGGUGGAAUGCGUAGAUAUCGGGAGGAACACCAGUGGCGAAGGCGGCCUACUGGGCACUAACUGACGCUGAGGCUCGAAAGCAUGGGUAGCAAACAGGAUUAGAUACCC